GGCCCUUUGGCGCAAUGGUAGCGCGUUGGUUUUCGGUUCAUCUGAAAGUCGCCAAAGGUUGUAGGUUCGAGCCCUGCAGGGGUCG